rnacentral:rRNA from 1 species
UUGAACGCUGGCGGCAUGCCUUACACAUGCAAGUCGAACGGCAGCACGGGGGCAACCCUGGUGGCGAGUGGCGAACGGGUGAGUAAUACAUCGGAACGUGUCCUGUAGUGGGGGAUAGCCCGGCGAAAGCCGGAUUAAUACCGCAUACGAUCUACGGAAGAAAGCGGGGGAUCGCAAGACCUCGCGCUAUGGGGGCGGCCGAUGGCAGAUUAGCUAGUUGGUGGGGUAAAGGCCUACCAAGGCGACGAUCUGUAGCUG